rnacentral:rRNA from 1 species
UGGAUUGGUGCCUUCGGGAACUCUGACACAGGUGCUGCAUGGCUGUCGUCAGCUCGUGUCGUGAGAUGUUGGGUUAAGUCCGUAACGAGCGCAACCCUUGUCCUUAGUUACCAGCACGUUAUGGUGGGCACUCUAAGGAGACUGCCGGUGACAAACCGGAGGAAGGUGGGGAUGAUGUCAAGUCAUCAUGGCCCUUACGGCCUGGGCUACACACGUGCUACAAUGGUCGGUACAAAGGGUUGCCAAACCGCGAGGUGGAGCUAAUCCCAUAAAACCGAUCGUAGUCCGGAUCGCAGUCUGCAACUCGACUGCGUGAAGUCGGAAUCGCUAGUAAUCGUGAAUCAGAAUGUCACGGUGAAUACGUUCCCGGGCCUU